CCAGCAGCGUGGCAGCCACCUGUGGGCUGUCCCAGAGAAACCCACUGACCACCAAGGGCAAGCAGCUAGUGCUGGGGAGGCUGCGAAGCCAAGAGAGGGAGAGGGAGAUGGAGACAGAGAGGAGGGACAGGAGCCAGCUCUCCCCUCCGCCCAUCCUCCAGGCUCCCACCAGCACUUCCCAGUCAGAAGCCUGUUGACAAGAGAUCCCGUUCCUUGCCCAGGUGUUGGCCCAGCUCUCUUCAUGGUUCCAAGAAGGCUGCCCCAGGAAGGCUUGUGGACAGAGGGAGAAGCAUCUCUUCCUCUAUGUCUCUUUUUAUCUAAGAAACCAGUUUGACCAGCAUCCUUCCCCUCGGCUCCCCAGGAGGAAUGCACGGAUCCCUUCGCCUUCCCCCAUCCCUCCAUGGUUGACUAAACCCACUAGGAUCCACUCUUUUGCGUGGAAAUGGGUUCAGGCCUCCCACGAAGAGCAUGAAGAUGCCCUCUGUUAUGGGUUACAUUAUGUCCCCUGCCCCCGAGACCGUAUGUUGAGUCCUAACCCUAGUAUUGCAGAACGUGAAUUUAUUAGGAGAUAGGGUCUUUAUGGAGGUCAUUAAGUUAAAUGAGGGUGUUAGGGUGGGCUGGUGUCCUGAUAUAAAGGGGAAAUUUGGGGCUGGGUGUAGUGGCUCACACAUAUAAUCCCAGUGCCUCGAGAGGCCAAGGCAGGAGGAUUGCUUGAGGGCAGGAGUUCAAGACCAGCUUGGGUAACAUAGGGAGACCGGUAUCUAUAAAAAAAAUUAAAAACAAAAAAAUUAGCCGAGUGUGGUGGUGCAUGCCUGUAGUCCCAGCUACUCAGGAGGCUGAGGUGGGAGGAUCGCUUGAGUCCAGGAAUUUGAGGCUGCAGUGAGCCAUAAAAAGAUGGGGGACGAUGGAGACGCACAGGGAAAACACCUUGUGAAUGCGGCAGAGAUAAGGGUGAUGCCUCUACACACCGAGGAACUUCAGAGACAACCAGUAAGUCACUGGGAGCUCGGGGAAGGCACAGCGCAGAUGCUCGCUGCCCUCAGAGGGAAGCCAGCCCGCCAACCCCUUGAUCUCAGACCUCUGGCCCCUGGAACUGUGAGAUGAUAGAUUUCUGUCGUUUAAGCACAGUGGUGCUGUGUUAUAGCAGCCCUAGGGAACCAUCCACUAUCAGAACAAAAGCAGGGCUGGACUGCUAGAAGAAAGGAGAGGAGAAUGGCAGAGGAUACCCACCUUGGGGCUGAAUCUGAGAUCACUCCAGGGCUCCCCAGGUUGUUUUGAAGAAUGGAGAUGGAUUUGUGCAGGGCUCACUGUAGAAGCUCAGUGCAGCAUGCGACGCUUAUAAGGCUGCAAUCCCCAGAGCUCAGUCCCUGAAGAGCGCUGCAUUCACAGACAUCAGCCAGCAGACAAACCAGUACCUAUUGUCCCUGACCCCCAGAAUCCAGCAGACAUAUAAAAGAUGGUUGUUAACCCCACUAAGUUUUGGGGUAAUUUGUUAUGCAGCCAUGCAACUGAAAGAAGCAGCUACAAUAUUUUUAUAAUGAAAUUCUUAGCCAGGACCCUCAUAGCCUAGCAAGAAGUUCUGUCUGGAAGAGCCCAGCUUUGGGGUUGGGUAUGUCUGGGUUUUAAUAUGUCAAGAGGGCAGGCCCUGGAGACGGAGCACAUGGAUUUGAAUCCCAGCCUCUCAUAGGCAGGUUAAUUAAUUUCCCUGAAUCUCAGUUUCUUCAUCUCUCAAUGGAGAAAAUAAUAGAAGCCACCUCACGGGAAUUAAAUGAGAUUAUUUACGCACAGCACCAAGGCUGUGGCUACUGUAUUUGACCCCUGAAACAGUUAAUUUUUCUUGACAUCCCUUCCUUGGUAUAUGUAUUAGUCAGGGUUCUCUAGAGGGACAGAACUAAUAGGAUAUCUCUCUCUCUAUAGAUUUAUAUAAAGGGGAGUUUAUUAAGUAUUAACUUACACAAUCACAAGGUCCUGCAAUAGGUCGUCUGCAGGCUGAGGAGCAAGGAGAGCCAGUUCAAGUCCCAAAACUGAAGAACUUGGAGUCUGAUGUUCGAGUCCAGGAAGCAUCCAGCACAGGAGAAAGAUGGAAGCUGGGAGGCCAGGCCUGACUCUCCUUUUCAUGUUUUUCUGCCUGCUUUAUAUCCGCUGGCAGCUGAUUAGGUGGUGCCCACCAGAUUAAGGGUGGAUCUGCCUUCCCCAGCCCACUGACUCAAAUGUUAAUCUCUUUUGGCAACACCCUCACAGACACACCCAGGAUCAAUACUGUCAGUUCAAUCAAGUUGACACUCAGUAUGAACCAUCGCAAUACAAUAGGAUUACUUUCUGUGAUAACCUGUGUAAAAAUAGGCAGUCAUGAUUUUCC
rnacentral:lncRNA from 10 species